GCUGGGUGCGGUGGCGGGUGCCUGUAAUCCCAGCUACUUGGGAGGCUGAGACAGGAGAAUCACUUGAACCCGGGAGGUGGAGGUUACAGUGGGCUGAGAUCACACCACUGCACUGCACCAGCCUGGGCGACAGAGUGAGAUUCUGUCUCAA
ensembl:misc_RNA Metazoa_SRP Metazoan signal recognition particle RNA